UACAGAGGUCCCGAGCGUUGUUCGGAUUCAUUGGGCGUAAAGGGUGCGUAGGCGGCGGGGCAAGUCUGAUGUGAAAUCCUGGGGCUCAACCCUGGAACUGCAUUGGAUACUGCCUUGCUAGAGUACUGGAGAGGAAACUGGAAUUUACGGUGUAGCAGUGAAAUGCGUAGAGAUCGUAAGGAAGACCAGUGGCGAAGGCGGGUCUCUGGACAGUUCCUGACGCUGAGGCACGAAGGUCAGGGGAGCAAACGGG
rnacentral:rRNA from 1 species